rnacentral:rRNA from 1 species
AUGAGGUUGAUAGGAUUGCAAUGUUGGGGGCAUUUUGAAACUCCCAAGAUGAAUGUGAUAUCUCAGCAGAAGCCUACUGUGUGGGCACAGUGGGUAGAAAGCCCUCUGGUUGCUCUCCCUGGUUCUGUUGUUUGGGUCCCACUGUCAGCCACCAGGGCGCCAUCCGGCGAUAGUUUGGUGAGUAAAGAUUGGCUAAAGGCACCUUCAGUGUUUUUGCCAGUGUCAAUCACCUCGCCAUCAACUGGAAAGGCGCCUUGGCAAGUGAAGAGAUCAUCUGGGAGAAAAUUUCCAUUCUCGCCAGGUGAGACCACCAACAGAUGGGGUAAUUCUGUCGAGUAUUCCCUCAAAAAGGGGCAAAAUGUCUGA